rnacentral:rRNA from 1 species
ACUCCUACGGGAGGCAGCAGUGGGGAAUUUUGCGCAAUGGGCGAAAGCCUGACGCAGCAACGCCGCGUGGAGGAUGAAGGUGCUCUGCAUUGUAAACUCCUGUCGGCCGGGAAGAAUCGGCUGGGUGCUAAUCAGCCCAGUCUUGACUGUACCGGCAAAGGAAGCCCCGGCUAACUCCGUGCCAGCAGCCGCGGUAAUACGGAGGGGGCAAGCGUUACUCGGAAUUAUUGGGCGUAAAGGGCGCGUAGGCGGUCUCGUGCGUCAGGGGUGAAAUCCCCGGGCUUAACCCGGGACGUGCCUCUGAUACGGCGAGACUUGAGUCCGGGAGAGGGGAGCAGAAUUCCCAGUGUAGCGGUGAAAUGCGUAGAUAUUGGGAGGAAUACCAGUGGCGAAGGCGGCUCCCUGGACCGGUACUGACGCUGAGGCGCGAAAGCGUGGGUAGCAAACAGGAUUAGAUACCCUGGUAGUCCACGCCGUAAACGAUGGGUGCUUGGUGUCGGGGGUAUCGACCCCUCCGGUGCCGAAGCUAACGCAUUAAGCACCCCGCCUGGGGAGUACGGUCGCAAGGCUGAAACUCAAAUGAAUUGACGG